rnacentral:rRNA from 1 species
CUAGAUCAGAAGCGAGAAUGUUGACAUGAGUAGCGACAAAGAGGGUGAGAGACCCUCUCGCCGUAAGUCCAAGGGUUCCUGCUUAAAGCUAAUCUGAGCAGGGUAAGCCGGCCCCUAAGGCGAGGCCGAAAGGCGUAGUCGAUGGGAACCAGGUUAAUAUUCCUGGGCCAGGAGGAGGUGACGGAUCUCGAAGGUAGUUUGCCCUUAUCGGAUUGGGUGGGCUGCUCAGAGGUUCCAGGAAAUAGCCCUCCAUCAGACCGUACCCUAAACCGACACAGGUGGACUGGUAGAGUAUACCAAGGCGCUUGAGAGAACCACGUUAAAGGAACUCGGCAAAAUGCCUCCGUAAGUUCGCGAGAAGGAGGCCCCAUAUCUGGGCAACCAGGUGUGGGGGGCACAAACUAGGGGGUGGCGACUGUUUACUUAAAACACAGGGCUGUGCGAAGCCGUAAGGCGACGUAUACAGUCUGACGCCUGCCCGGUGCUGGAAGGUUAAAAGGAGGGGUGCAAGCUCUGAAUUGAAGCCCCAGUAAACGGCGGCCGUAACGAUAACGGUCCUAAGGUAGCGAAAUUCCUUGUCGGGUAAGUUCCGACCUGCACGAAUGGCGUAACGAUCUCCCCGCUGUCUCUAACGUGGACUCAGCGAAAUUGAACUGUGUGUCAAGAUGCACACUACCCGCGGUUAGACGGAAAGACCCCAUGCACCUUUACUCCAGCUUUGCACUGGUAUCAGGAUUGUGAUGUGCAGGAUAGGUGGUAGGCAUCGAAGCGGGGACGCCAGUUCUCGUGGAGCCUCCCUUGAGAUACCACCCUUCGCCAUCUUGAUAUCUAACCGCGGCCCGUUAUCCGGGUCCGGGACCCUGCAUGGUGGGGAGUUUGACUGGGGCGGUCGCCUCCCAAACAGUAACGGAGGCGCGCGAAGGUAGGCUCAGACCGGUCGGAAAUCGGUCGUUGAGUGCAAUGGCAGAAGCCUGCCUGACUGCAAGUCUGACAAGACGAGCAGAGACGAAAGUCGGUCAUAGUGAUCCGGUGGUCCCAAGUGGGAGGGCCAUCGCUCAACGGAUAAAAGGUACGCUGGGGAUAACAGGCUGAUGAUGCCCAAGAGUCCAUAUCGACGGCAUCGUUUGGCACCUCGAUGUCGGCUCAUCUCAUCCUGGGGCUGGAGCAGGUCCCAAGGGUAUGGCCGUUCGCCAUUUAAAGAGGUACGUGAGCUGGGUUUAGAACGUCGUGAGACAGUUCGGUCCCUAUCUGCCGUGGGUGUAGGAGACUUGAGAAGAGUUGCCCCUAGUACGAGAGGACCGGGGUGAACGAACCACUGGUGGACCAGUUGUCGUGCCAACGGCAGUGCUGGGUAGCUAUGUUCGGACAGGAUAACCGCUGAAGGCAUCUAAGCGGGAAGCCCCCUUCAAAACAAGGUCUCCCUUGAGAGCCGUGGAAGACCACCACGUCGAUAGGCCGGAGGUGUAAGUGCAGCAAUGCAUUCAGCUGACCGGUACUAAUUGCUCC